CCCUUAGAUGUUCUGGGCUGCACGCGCGCUACACUGAUGCACUCAACGAGUUUACGACCUUGCCCGAUAGGGUUGGGUAAUCUUUUUAAAAUGCAUCGUGAUGGGGAUAGAUUAUUGCAAUUAUUAAUCUUCAACGAGGAAUUCCUAGUAAGCGCGAGUCAUCAGCUCGUGCUGAUUACGUCCCUGCCCUUUGUACACACCGCCCGUCGCUCCUACCGAUUGAGUGCUCAGGUGAAUAAUUCGGACUGCAGCAAUGUGUGGAUCCCGAACGUUGCAGCGGAAAGUUUAGUGAACCUUAUCACUUAGAGGAAGGAGAAGUCGUAACA
rnacentral:rRNA from 1 species